rnacentral:rRNA from 1 species
UAGGGAAUAUUGGACAAUGGGUGCAAGCCUGAUCCAGCCAUGCCGCGUGCAGGAAGAAGGCUUUCUGAGUUGUAAACUGCUUUUGCCAGGGGAUAAAAAAGGCGUGCGCGCUUAAUUGAAGGUACCUGGUGAAUAAGCCACGGCUAACUACGUGCCAGCAGCCGCGGUAAUACGUAGGUGGCAAGCGUUGUCCGGAUUUAUUGGGUUUAAAGGGUGCGUAGGGCGGGUUUCUUAAGUCAGUGGUGAAAUACGGCAGCUCAACUGUCGAGGUGCCAUUGAUACUGGGAGACUUGAGUACUGAUGAGGUAGGCGGAAUGGACGGUGUAGCGGUGAAAUGCUUAGAUAUCGUCCAGAACACCGAUAGCGAAGGCAGCUUACUAAGGAGUAACUGACGCUGAGGCACGAAAGUGUGGGGAUCAAACAGGAUUAGAUACCCUGGUAGUCCACACUGUAAACGAUGAUCACUCGAUGUUGGCGAUAUACGGCCAGCGUCUUAGC